rnacentral:rRNA from 1 species
GAUGAACGCUGGCGGCGUGCCUAAUACAUGCAAGUCGAGCGAACGGACGAGAAGCGUGCUUCUCUGAUGUUAGCGGCGGACGGGUGAGUAACACGUGGAUAACCUACCUAUAAGACGGGGAUAACUUCGGGAAACCGGAGCUAAUACCGGAUAAUAUUUUGAACCGCAGGGUUCAAAAGUGAAAGACGGUCUUGGUGUCACUUAUAGAUGGAGCCGCGCUGCAUUAGCUAGUUGGUAAGGUAACGGCUUACCAAGGCAACGAUGCAUAGCCGACCUGAGAGGGUGAUCGGCCACACUGGAACCGAGACACGGUCCAGACUCCUACGGGAGGCAGCAGUAGGGAAUCUUCCGCAAUGGGCGAAAGCCUGACGGAGCAACGCCGCGUGAGUGAUGAAGGUCUUCGGAUCGUAAAACUCUGUUAUUAGGGAAGAACAUAUGUGUAAGUAACUGUGCACAUCUUGACGGUACCUAAUCAGAAAGCCACGGCUAACUACGUG